CAGUAGCCACGGUAAUUCGAAGGGGGCUAGCGUUGUUCGGAUUUACUGGGCGUAAAGGGCGCGUAGGCGGACUGAUAAGUCAGGGGUGAAAUCCCAAGGCUCAACCUUGGAACUGCCUUUGAUACUGUUUGUCUUGAGUUCGAGAGAGGUGAGUGGAACUGCGAGUGUAGAGGUGAAAUUCGUAGAUAUUCGCAAGAACACCAGUGGCGAAGGCGGCUCACUGGCCCGAUACUGACGCUGAGACACGAAAGCGUGAGGAGCAAACAGGAUUAGAUACCCGUGUAGUCCCUGUCUCUUAUAC
rnacentral:rRNA from 1 species